rnacentral:rRNA from 1 species
CAGCAGCCACGGGAAUACAGAGGGUGCGAGCGUUAAUCGGAUUUACUGGGCGUAAAGCGUGUGUAGGUUGUUGUUCAAGUCAGUUGUGAAAUCCCUGGGCUCAACCUGGGAACUGCUUCUGAGACUGAACGACUAGAGUACGGUAGAGGGUGGUGGAAUUUCCGGUGUAGCGGUGAAAUGCGUAGAUAUCGGAAGGAACAUCAAUGGCGAAGGCAGCCACCUGGGCCUGUACUGACACUGAGACACGAAAGCGUGGGGAUCAAACAGGAUUAGAUACCCGCGUAGUCCCUGUCUCUUAUAC